rnacentral:rRNA from 1 species
GACGAACGCUGGCGGCGUGCCUAAUACAUGCAAGUAGGACGCAGUUGCGAACGGGUGAGUAACGCGUAUGUAACUACCUAUUAGAGGGGGAUAACUAUUGGAAACGAUAGCUAAUACCGCCUACUAGUAGAUGGACCUGCGUUGUAUUAGCUAGUAGGUAGGGUAAUGGCCUACCUAGGCAACGAUACAUAGCCGGCCUGGGAGGGUGAUCCGCCUCAAUGGGGCUGAGACACGGGCCAGACUCCUACGGGAGGCAGCAGUAGGGAAACAUCGGCAAUGGGGGGAAACCUGACCGAGCAACGCCGCGGGAGUGAAGAAGGUUUGCGGAUCGUAAAGCUCGGUUGUUAAGGAAGCGGUACUUAACCAGAAAGGGACGGCGAACUACGUGCCAGCAGCCGCGGUAAUAC